rnacentral:rRNA from 1 species
AACGAACGCUGGCGGCAUGCCUAACACAUGCAAGUCGAACGAGACCUUCGGGUCUAGUGGCUCACGGGUGCGUAACGCGUGGGAACCUGCCCUUAGGUUCGGAAUAACUCCCCGAAAGGGGUGCUAAUACCGGAUAAUGUCUUCGGACCAAAGAUUUAUCGCCUUUGGAUGGGCCCGCGUUGGAUUGGCUAGUUGGUAGGGUAAAAGCCUACCAAGGCGACGAUCCAUAGCUGGUCUGAGAGGAUGAUCAGCCACACUGGGACUGAGACACGGCCCAGACUCCUACGGGAGGCAGCAGUGGGGAAUAUUGGACCAUGGGCGAAAGCCUGAUCCAGCAAUGCCGCGUGAGUGAUGAAGGCCUUAGGGUUGUAAAGCUCUUUUAACCGGGAUGAUAAUGACAGUACCGGGAGAAUAAGCUCCGGCUAACUCCGUG